GAAGUCCUCUGUGCGUCCCUCUUCCUUCAUUCUCCUGACGCCUAGGGCCCACCCGGCUACAGUGCCGUGACUGCCGUCUUCCUCCCCCAGCCGCCUCUCCCGUGCGGCCGUGCCCGUGCACAUCAACGCCGCCACCUCCACCAAAUUCGGCCUCGUCGUUGCUCCGCGGAAACGGAAUUCCCUCGAUCACCUCUACGUUCGCCACAAGAAAGCCCCCAACAAAUUCGCGCUGGAUUUCGGCCCCAUUCUUAUCCCGAUGAACUCGGGAACCCUUAUUUCCCACCGCCGAAACCCCAAAUCCGCAUGGAUCUCUUCCUCCUCCGCCUAUAUAAAUGAUGCCCGGGUCUCCUCUUCGGUUUCCCCUCCUGUCCCCGAGCCGCCGUGGCCUAGCCACCUCUUCCCGCGAGUUUCCUCUCUGUCCGCCACCGCCGCCAACUCCGGCCGCGUCGCGCCGCCUCUCUGGUCGACGCCGCCUUGCGCCGUUGCCUCCUUCGGCUCCACAAGGGCGAGGGCUACCUCGGCCGCCGGUUCGCUUGUACCGAAGACCGCAGGAAGCUGCUCGCUGAUGCGAACCCGAGCGCCUCUGCCUCCCAUCGACCUCCAGCCGUGACCCACCGUUGUUCCCCCCAUCGCCAUCCUCGGCAUCGCCAGCGCCGAGGAGAAGCCCGUCUACCCCUCCGUUGCCGCCGCCCGUCGUCGCCAGAAAGCCGCCGACCCGAGCUCGCAGCCGGCCGUCUCCGUUCACCGUCUGUCGUCUUGUUUAGUUUUCUGUCGUUUUGGAGGACCGUUCGUUCGUUGGAUAAGCUCCUGAAGAUGGAUUGAAGAUGUUUGAUUGCAAGCGAGCAGGGGGCGGAAGCCAGAGCGAACUCAGGCCGACGCAAGGGCGAGCAGGGGGUCGACGGCCGGCAGAAGAGCGAGCACAGGCUAGCACAAGGGGCGAGCAGGUAGGCGGCAAGCGAUUGACGGGUGCGGCGAGCAGGGAGGCGGCGGCCGGUCGACAAACGAGCACAGGUUGGCUCACGCAGCGAGUAGGUGGCGGCGAGGAUAGGACAGCUAGAUUCGGCGCACAAGUUUGCAUCGACAUCGAUUUCCCCUCCCCAACGCCUCCCAAAACUGAGCGCACAGGAGAGAGCUGGAAUUGUAGGACAAUGCACAGAAAGGAGGCAAUUAAAACUGUGUAUCGUGAAGUUGGUGGUGAAUGUAAAGAUGGAUCAACUAUUGGUAUUGACAUGAAUUCCCAUAACACAUCAGUUAAGGAGUGCUUGAGCAAAACAGAGGUUGUGACUACCGACUCCUGCCCAGACCGUGUAAUCAUCCCAGACCCUACACCUAAGAGGGUGAAUUCUGUCUUCUACGACAUUUUGCCGAAACUGAUGCCCAUCCUGCAAAAGGAUAAUGUCCAAGAUUUUCUCCGCUUCUUCCAUAGGAAUAUGGAUGUCAUGGGUCGGGACUUAGUCACCCCAGAAACCUUUUUUUACAUAAUCAUGGUGAAUUCUGUGCGAUGUGCCAAAGUUGUCUUGGAGGGCCAAGCACCUGAGCUGGAGGGGCUCCGUGCCUAUCCCAACUGUGUUACCUAAUAUGGGUUCUUCCCUCUUACCAAGCUGCUGAGAUAUUUUCUGUUGACAUGAUCAAGUUGCUCAUUCGGCAUGGCGCACUUGUAAAUUUACGCACAAUUGGUGGUAAAGUAAUUGAAGGACUACUCCCACUCCAUGUUGCAGUUGAGAACACUUGAAUGCAUAAGUAUCUUGAUGACAAUCUAUUUCCUGACGAGUUGAAUCCAGACUACAGUAAGGCAGAUACCAAUGAUAUCUACAAGCUUAUCCAUCUUCUGUGCCUACCAGAAAUGAAGAUCUUCAUGGAUACGACUAGGCUGCUUGCAAAGCACACAAAUGAUCUGGUUGGUGAGAUUUGCAAUUACAUAAAACAUGGGAAACUUCUGCAGACUGCAGUUUUGCUCCUGGCAGCUCAAGAGCAUAUCCGGGGUAGCAAAAGAAAUGGUAAUAGUAAGGAAGAUGGAUUUGGUGAUAUUAUUAAAUAUAUCUCCGAGCACACCAGUUCCAUUAAACUGGAUGUUGGUAUAAAGAAUUAGGCACAGCUGAAGGAAAAAUAUAUUUCAUCAACAUUAUGGCUUGUUCAAGCAAUUUCCAGGGCUGGUAAAGCUCUUGGUCAAUGCAUUCAAAGGCAUUCAAAGUCCCCUCAGGUGCCCCACAAGGAGGUCCUUGAACACGUGUCAUCGAUUCUCAAGUUUUAUAAUUUUUGUCCUACUGGAGAAGGCAUCAGCAUUGAAAGCCUAAACCUCUCCCGCUACGACUGCCCCUUGCCCAGUGGACUCAUACUUGACGAAUUUGGGACUACUGUAGCUACUCAUCUGCAUGCUGGAAAGGAAAAGGCUUUGGUAAAGAGACUGGAUCUCCAAUACAAAAGGAGAAGUUUCUUCCCAUAUUGGCGAUCAGCUUUAAGUUUCGGGUUUCCUGUGACGAUCUAUCCAUCAUACUCAUAUGAUGAUAAGCAUCAUCGUGAUCUGGAACCAUUCAUCUAUAAACGUGAAUCGAGGGACAAAGGAUCAUCUCCAGCUCCAAACCAUAACACUGGCCUUUUGGCAAGCUUGCGGCAACCCACAACCAAUUAUCAAUUGACAAGGCAAUUUGGUACUGCUGCAUUAAUAACCAAUCAUCAAACAAAGAGGCUAUUUGGCACGGCUGCAUUGACGCUCUUGAAAGUCUUGAAGAAAGCAUGAAUGAAAAGGUAUGCCAUGAGUUCUGUUUUCUAUCUGCAUAUAACAUAACUUUCGUGGUGUAUAUAACUGAAAAGGUAUGGUGUUGGGGGACGGGAAGAGCAUCUUCUUCUGGUCUUCUGGACAGACGACUGGACCGGAUGCCAAUUCUAUGCUUCCGGAUGGGGGUUCCAUCCUGAACCGGAUGCCAAUUAUAUGCUCUUACGUCAAAAACAUGGAAAGGACAGUUCACUCCAAGUUUAUUUUAUUUUUAAAUUAAGAUAGAAAAUAUGUAAAUUUAUAGCUGUUAAGCCAAAUAUUUUUAUUGAGAAAAAUAUUAUAUAUUUUACUUUAAGCAGUCAAAUUUGUUUCUAAGCCAUCCGGAUGUAUUGGAUCUGAUAUUAUUAAAUACAAACUCUAGAUGUUUCUGUAUCGUUUAUUUAAUAGCCGCUGCAAUGCGAAGUAAAUGAACCUGUAAUAGAAGGGUAAAUGAAGCUCACGGAUAGAACCCUCCUAUAUGUCAAA